UACGUAGGGGGCAAGCGUUGUCCGGAAUCACUGGGCGUAAAGAGCGUGUAGGCGGCCCGGUAAGUCCGCUGUGAAAGUCGGGGGCUCAACCCUCGAAUGCCGGUGGAUACUGUCGGGCUAGAGUGCGGAAGAGGCGAGUGGAAUUCCUGGUGUAGCGGUGAAAUGCGCAGAUAUCAGGAGGAACACCGAUUGCGAAGGCAGCUCGCUGGGACGUCACUGACGCUGAGACGCGAAAGCGUGGGGAGCAAACAGG
rnacentral:rRNA from 1 species